AACGAACGCUGGCGGCAUGCCUAACACAUGCAAGUCGAACGAGACCUUCGGGACUAGUGGCGCACGGGUGCGUAACGCGUGGGAACCUGACCAUAGGUUCGGAAUAACUCUCCGAAAGGGGUGCUAAUACGGGAUAAGGUCUUCUGACCAAAGAUUUAUCGUCUUUGGAUGGGCACGCGUUGGAUUAGCUAGUUGGGAGGGUAAAAGCCUACCACGGCGACGAUCCAUAGAUGGUCUGAGAGGAAGAUCAGCCACACUGGGACUAGGACACGGCCCAGACUCCUACGGGAGGCAGCAGUGGGGAAUAUUGGACAAUGGGCGAAAUCCUGAUCCAGCAAGGCCGCGUGAGUGAUGAAGGCCUUAGGGUUGUAAAGCUCUUUUACCCGGGAUGAUAAUGACAGUACCGGGAGAAUAAGCUCCGGCUAACUACGUG
rnacentral:rRNA from 1 species